GACGAACGCUAGCGGCGUGCUUAACACAUGCAAGUCGAAGGGAAAGGCCCUGCUUUUGUGGGGUGCUCGAGUGGCGAACGGGUGAGUCACACGUGCUUACCCUUCCCGUUACUUUGGGAUAACUUCGGGUAACUGGGGCUAGUACCGGAUAGUAGCUCCUGCUUCAUGUUAGGGGUUGGAAAGUUGCGGCGGUUGGUGAUGUACUCGCGGCUUAUCAGCUUGUUGGUGGGGUAGUGGCUUACCAAGGCUUUGGCGGGUAGCCGGCCUGAGAGUGGGACUGGGCACAGUGGGACUGAGAUACGGGCCAGAGUAGUACGGGAGGCAGCAGUGGGGACGAUUGCCCGAUGGGCGGAAGCCGGAUGCAGCAACGCGGCGUGCGGGAUGAUGGACUUCGGGUUGUAAACCGGUUUCGGCUGUGACGGAGCGUGAGUGACGGUAAUGGGUAAAGAAGCACCGGCUAACUACGUG
rnacentral:rRNA from 1 species